rnacentral:lncRNA from 1 species
CAAACAGUCUUUGUGGGAAGCCCUUUUGUGCCUAAGAAGAUACCCCAGUUCAGGCAAAUGAAGAAAACAAUGGUCCUGAGACUGCCAUACUGAAGAGCUCAAUGUAGCCAUUCUGGUCAACAGUCCAGCUGAGUUCCAGACAAUAGUCUGCUUUGACUGCCAGCCCUGUGAGUGCACUGUCUUGGACAGCCAGUCCCCUGGAGCCCUCAGAUGACUACGGCAGUAACCAACAUCUGACUGCAAUCUCGUGAGAAACCCUCGGCCAGAACUGCCCAGCUAAGAGUUUACAAAUUCCUGAUACACCAAACUGUGAGCAAAAUAAAGCAAUCAUUUGAAGCUGCUAAAUGUGGGGAGAGCUGGUUAUGCAGCAAUAGUAACCUGAGCACCAUAGGAGAGAGAACAAUCACUGAGUUUCCAAGACACAUGGUGCCUGGUGCCGCCCCUCCCAUCGUGGACACAAGGAUUUGAUGGCUGAAACCUGGAGGGAGAGACCCCAGUGUGGGAAGGAAGCCCCUGGGUCCCACAGAAGGUCCAGAAGGUGGAUAAACCUCUAAGAUAAUAGCAUGAAAUUUGCCAUAAUGAUAUCAUCAGCAGGUCAGAUGGGACACAAGCGUCUGUGGAUUUACUUUCAACUCCACUGCCACAUAUUAGUGGAGACUCCAGGAGUGGAUGAAUUUUUUGCAGAUGAGGCUCCUUCUCCUUGUCUCAACUUCUCUUCCAACUAA